AAUGUCAAAGAUUUAUCGCUGAAAGAUGGGCUCGCGUCUGAUUAGAUAGUUGGUGGGGUAACGGCCUACCAAGUCGACGAUCAGUAGCCGGACUGAGAGGUUGAACGGCCACAUUGGGACUGAGAUACGGCCCAGACUCCUACGGGAGGCAGCAGUGGGGAAUAUUGGGCAAUGGGGGGAACCCUGACCCAGCAACGCCGCGUGAAGGAAGAAGGCUUUCGGGUUGUAAACUUCUUUUACCGAGGACGAAGAACGUGACGGUACUCGGAGAAAAAGCCACGGCUAACUACGUGCCAGCAGCCGCGGUAAUACGUAGGUGGCAAGCGUUGUCCGGAAUUACUGGGUGUAAAGGGCGUGUAGGCGGAGCAGCAAGUCAGAAGUGAAAUCUCCGGGCUUAACCCGGAAACUGCUUUUGAAACUGUUGCCCUUGAGUAUCGGAGAGGCAGGCGGAAUUCCUAGUGUAGCGGUGAAAUGCGUAGAUAUUAGGAGGAACACCAGUGGCGAAGGCGGCCUGCUGGCCGACAACUGACGCUGAGGCGCGAAAGCGUGGGGAGCAAACAGGAUUAGAUACCCUGGUAGU
rnacentral:rRNA from 1 species